CCUACGGGGAGCAGCAGUGAGGAAUAUUGGUCAAUGGACGCAAGUCUGAACCAGCCAUGCCGCGUGCAGGAAGACGGCGCUAUGAGUUGUAAACUGAUUUUGUACGAGGGUAAACGCAGAUACGCGUAUCUGUCUGAAAGUAUCGGACGAAUAAGGAUCGGCGAACUCCGUGCCAGCAGCCGCGGUAAUACGGAGGAUUCAAGCGUUAUCCGGAUUUAUUGGGUUUAAAGGGUGCGUAGGCGGUCGGAUAAGUUAGAUGUGAAAUCCCGAGGCUCAACUUCGGAAUUGCCUCUGAUACUGUUCGGCUAGAGAGUAGUUGCGGUAGGCGGAAUGUAUGGUGUAGCUGUGAAAUGCUUAGAGAUCAUACAGAACACCGAUUGCGAAGGCAGCUUACCAAGCUACUUCUGACGUUGAGGCACGAAAGCGUGGGGAGCAAACAGGAUUAGAUACCCCAGUAGUC
rnacentral:rRNA from 1 species